rnacentral:rRNA from 1 species
GAUGAACGCUGGCGGCGUGCCUAAUACAUGCAAGUCGAGCGAACAGACGAGGAGCUUGCUCCUCUGACGUUAGCGGCGGACGGGUGAGUAACACGUGGAUAACCUACCUAUAAGACUGGGAUAACUUCGGGAAACCGGAGCUAAUACCGGAUAAUAUAUUGAACCGCAUGGUUCAAUAGUGAAAGACGGUUUUGCUGUCACUUAUAGAUGGAUCCGCGCCGCAUUAGCUAGUUGGUAAGGUAACGGCUUACCAAGGCAACGAUGCGUAGCCGACGUGAGAGGGGGAUAGGCCACACUGGAACGGAACCGCGGUCCAGACUCCUACGGGAGGCCGCAGUAGGGAAUCUUCCGCAAUAGGCGAGAGCCUGACGGAGCAACGCCGCGUGAGUGAUGACGGUCUUCGGAGCGUAAAACUCUGUUAUGAGUGAAGAACAAAUGUGUAAGUAACUAUGCACGUCUUGACGGUACCUGCUCAGAAAGCCCCGGCUAACUACGUG